CCUAAAAUAACACUGAGAUGUCAGUUCUUUGAAUCAUCUGAGAUGGACCAAAAAUCUAAAGGUAGAAAAAUUAUUAACAGCAUCAGAAUUUCUACUCCUGCAAGACUUUCUGCCUUGGUUUCUUCACUUGGCUGCUGAAGAGCUUGUUUGUAUCUCUAUGGAUUCUAUUCACAUUAUGCAGUUGGACCAGCAGCAAUAACUGUAGCAACAGUAUGUCUAUCAAGAACUGAGGAAUCAGCAGAAAAAGAAACAGCAAAUACAGUUAUUCAUCGUAAUCAUUGUCAUUAGCAGAAACAAAAGAUCCAGAAUGUAUUCCUACAGGGCUCAUUUCUUCUUAAAUAGCCAGUAUUUUGGAUGAGAAGUUCGUUGGUUUUGUAAGGCUUCCUGAUUCACUUAGAAAAAUGAGUCUAUUUUAGGGUAUUAUUUAAUUAAAAAGAAUAUUUAUAUCCUUUUAUUAUCUAAAUGUUUGUAGUUUCUCCAUGCAAAAAAUACUGUGUAUAAACUGGUACUUAAAUAAUAACUUUCUGUUAAAAAAAUGCUAGUUUUAUGGAAUGGAGUCGGUUGAUGCUGAACUUUAAGACACUUACAUAAUGAGUGGAGAGAAGUAGGAUCCUGAGUGCCUUGAAUUCCUGUCUAGGGAUGCCAUGUCUCCUUUGGCUAUGUAGAGAUCUGCACUCUGUGUUAGAUGUUGCUAUUAAUAGUAGAUGUUUUCCCCUUCACAUUAAUAAAUUUCUAGCUAUGCAUACAAGGACAAAUUUUAUGGUUGAAGACUGUAGCAACAAUGUACAUAGAAUUCAGCAAAUGAAAAAAUCUUUCAUACAUUAAAUUCUAGUGUACAGUAAAAAAAAAUAAUAAAGAAAAAUGAGAAAAUAUCAAUAGAGCUAAAAAUAAUCUACAAUGUUGAUAUUACACAAAAUGACAUUUAAAUAAUGUUUCAGUUGCACAAAAGGUAAAGUACUAUUAUUUAUUUAUUUAUUUAUUACUUAAAUUAUGAAUCCUGGAACAGGCAAAUAAACUCUUUACUCUUUCACGUGAAUCAAGUAAAAGAUUCUCCUCUAGAAUGCAGGAUUACCGUGGUCCUAAAAAAAGAUGAAGCAACAAGCAGUUACUGGAAAAGAAGCAGACUGAAAAAUGAUAAACCUAUGCUGAGAUUCAUGCCGAUGUUACUGGCUCAGUAAUUUGUGGAUUAGAUUCAAAGAGGUAGAAGCAUAGAAUCACUGAAUGAUUGAGGGACUACAUGGGAUCAUCCAGUCCAUCCCCCUGCAGGGUCACCUAGGGCACAUUACCCUGAAUUACAUCCAGGUAUAGAAGAACUUCUUGUGUUUCAUGUUGAGCUCAUUACCUCUUGUCCUGUUGCCAGGCACCGUAGCCUGGUCCCAUCCUCUUGGAACUCUCCCUUAAGGUACUUGCACACAUUCACUGUCUUUAGUAAUGUAUAUAUACUUUUCUUUGUACAUACAUGUACAAGUUGAAGGGUGGAUGCAAAAUUACUAGCUUUUUGCAUGUGAAUUUCAUAUUUAGAUGCUCUUUUAUCCUGUUCCUAAAAUGUUCUAUGAUAAUGUUACAUUUUCUAAGUUUGAUCUGCACUCCAUCUUUAGCCAAUGAAAAAUUGGAUAGUACUUCAGAACUGCAUUUCUAAUGAGAUCCCAGCUACGGGCAUGUAUAAACAAUAAAGGGUAUCAAUCACGUUUAGCAUCAUAGAGAUUUCUGCUUGCUUUCUUUUCAAUUAACUGGUUCAUAAAA